rnacentral:rRNA from 1 species
UACGUAGGGGGCAAGCGUUGUCCGGAAUCAUUGGGCGUAAAGAGCGUGUAGGCGGUCCGGUAAGUCCGCUGUGAAAGUCGGGGGCUCAACCCUCGAAUGCCGGUGGAUACUGUCGGGCUCGAGUACGGAAGAGGCGAGUGGAAUUCCUGGUGUAGCGGUGAAAUGCGCAGAUAUCAAGGAGGAACACCAAUUGCGAAGGCAGCUCGCUGGGACGUUACUGACGCUGGAGACGCGAAAGCGUGGGGAGCAAAC